rnacentral:rRNA from 1 species
AUUGAACGCUGGCGGCAGGCCUAACACAUGCAAGUCGAACGAGUGGCGGACGGGUGAGUAAUGUCUGGGAAACUGCCCGAUGGAGGGGGAUAACUACUGGAAACGGUAGCUAAUACCGCAUACCAUCGGAUGUGCCCAGAUGGGAUUAGCUAGUAGGUGGGGUAACGGCUCACCUAGGCGACGAUCCCUAGCUGGUCUGAGAGGAUGACAAGCAAGACUGGAACUGAGAAACGGUCCAGAGUGCUAAGGGAGGAAGCAGUGGGGAAUAUUGGACAAUGGGCGAAAGCCUGAUGCAGCCAUGCCGCGUGUAUGAAGAAGGCGGACGGGUUGAAAAGUACUUUCAGCGAGGAGGCGUUACUCGCAGAAGAAGCACCGGCUAACGCCGUGCCAGCAGCCGCGGUAAUAC